CCUACGGGUGGCUGCAGUGGGGAAUAUUGGACAAUGGGGGCAACCCUGAUCCAGUCAUGCCGCGUGUGUGAAGAAGGCCCUCGGGUUGUAAAGCACUUUCAGUGAGGAAGAACGCCUGGUGGUUAAUACCCAUCAGGAAAGACAUCACUCACAGAAGAAGCACCGGCUAACUCCGUGCCAGCAGCCGCGGUAAUACGGAGGGUGCGAGCGUUAAUCGGAAUUACUGGGCGUAAAGCGCGCGUAGGUGGCUUGAUAAGCCGGUUGUGAAAGCCCCGGGCUCAACCUGGGAACGGCAUCCGGAACUGUCAAGCUAGAGUGCAGGAGAGGAAGGUAGAAUUCCCGGUGUAGCGGUGAAAUGCGUAGAGAUCGGGAGGAAUACCAGUGGCGAAGGCGGCCUUCUGGACUGACACUGACACUGAGGUGCGAAAGCGUGGGUAGCAAACAGGAUUAGAUACCCUAGUAGUC
rnacentral:rRNA from 1 species